ACACCGGAUAUUCUUUUAUGGCGCUCAGUUGUCAUCUGUUCCUGGCGCACGGCAGGGUUUGCCGGAUUCGCGGUGAGAAUCUAUCCAAUCAAUCUCCGUUCUCUUCGGCGACAACAUUGGACUGCGAGCAAUCGCUACACCGGAUUCUCAGCAAGCUGGAAUGCUACAAACAGUCGCCAUUGGCGGCGCUCCAGUCCGGGCGCUGGGUGAAAUUGAUUUGCGGAGCAAGCUUUGAGGACAUUGCAGAAGUAAGAAAUCUAUCACUCAUCUAUGCUCUUGCUGGUGUGGACUGCAUCGAUUGCGCUGCUGAUGGAGCAGUAGUGACGGCAGUCAGUGAUGGUGUUCGUGCGGCCAAGGAAAUCGCUCUGGACUUUGGAUAUAGUUUCCGUGAUCCGUGGCUCAUGGUCAGCAUAAACGAUGACGAGGAUCCUCAUUUCCGCAAAGCUGAGUUCAAUCCAAGGCUUUGUCCUUCUGACUGUCCACGUCCCUGCGAGCGUGUAUGUCCUGCUUCAGCUAUUUCUUUCAGCUAUCCAGAAUCAAGUGGAGUUAUUCCGGAACGCUGCUAUGGCUGUGGUCGUUGCAUUCCAGUCUGUCCCAUGCGAAACAUUCAAGCUGUAACUUACGUACGAAACCUUGAGAAGGUCUCAGAGUUACUGUGCUUAGACGAAGUUGAUGCUGUGGAGAUUCACACCGGACAAGGACGUUUGGAGGCUUUUCAUCAGCUGGUGACAAACCUUGGCAGUUCUUUCGAUCAUCUAAAGCUUGUGGCAGUAAGCGUUCCUGACUUGGGCGAUUCAAUGAUCUCUUCCAUGACGACAAUGUACGAGAGCAUGAAACCAUAUGUCAAAUGUGCAAACCUCUGGCAGCUGGAUGGACGUCCAAUGAGUGGUGAUAUCGGCAAGGGUGCUACUCGAGCUGCGGUAAUCCUGGGUGGAAGAGUUUUAGCGGCUUUGGAUCGUCCCCCAGGUUUCUUACAGCUUGCUGGUGGGACAAAUUCACACACCAGAGAGGCUUUAGAGCUCGCUGGACUUGUAAACAAUGGCAAUGAGUCUAUGAUUGCUGGCAUUGCUGGCAUUGCUUUCGGUGGCUAUGCUCGAAAGAUUGUUUGUAGUUUGCUCAAGGAGCUGGAAGCAACAAAGUCUACACGAUUGGAGGACCAUCCAGAGCUGUUGUUUAAGUCGAUCUCUGUCACAGGAGAGCUUGUAUGGCCCAUGAAGCUUUAAUCUGGGUGCGCUCGCGCGACUGGAAAAAACGCAUCUCAGGACUGAAGUUUCCAACAAGUUCAUGUAAGAACCCUGUUUAAGAGAAAUCGCAAAUGGUGGUAGCCGAUUCUCUCGAAUUGGAUGAACUUUAUUCGCUUCAUCAAGGUUGGAUGAGUGAGAGCAAAGAUCUGUCUUCCAUUAAACAGAUGCCAAGCUAAUUAUUGAGGAGAAAUUCCACACUCCCAUUUUUCCCCGGAAGCAUGAUGAAAAACUUUCCAAGCUAAGAGCAAGACCAGACUCUAUGAAUUGGCUAGCUAUCAGCUUUUUAUUUUC